rnacentral:rRNA from 1 species
UAGGGAAUCUUCCACAAUGGGCGAAAGCCUGAUGGAGCAACGCCGCGUGUGUGAUGAAGGCUUUCGGGUCCGUAAAGCACUGUUGUAUGGGAAGAACAGCUAGAAUAGGAAAUGAUUUUAGUUUGACGGUACCAUACCAGAAAGGGACGGCUAAAUACGUGCCAG